UCUGUAGCUGAGCGAGGCAC
rnacentral:miRNA from 1 species